rnacentral:rRNA from 1 species
CUCUGUGACUCCUACGGGAGGCAGCAGUGGGGAAUAUUGCACAAUGGGCGCAAGCCUGAUGCAGCCAUGCCGCGUGUGUGAAGAAGGCCUUCGGGUUGUAAAGCACUUUCAGUUGUGAGGAAGGUGGUGUCGUUAAUAGCGGCAUCAUUUGACGUUAGCAACAGAAGAAGCACCGGCUAACUCCGUGCCAGCAGCCGCGGUAAUACGGAGGGUGCGAGCGUUAAUCGGAAUUACUGGGCGUAAAGCGCAUGCAGGUGGUUUGUUAAGUCAGAUGUGAAAGCCCGGGGCUCAACCUCGGAACUGCAUUUGAAACUGGCAGACUAGAGUACUGUAGAGGGGGUAGAAUUUCAGGUGUAGCGGUGAAAUGCGUAGAGAUCUGAAGGAAUACCGGUGGCGAAGGCGGCCCCCUGGACAGAUACUGACACUCAGAUGCGAAAGCGUGGGGAGCAAACAGGAUUAGAUACCCUGGUAA